rnacentral:rRNA from 1 species
GCCAGCAACCAUGUCACCCUGGACCUUACAAUUGACAGCCCACUGAAGCUAAGCAGGUGUGAGCCUGGUCAGUACUAGGAUGUGAGACCUCCUGGGAAAAAAGGUUGCUGCUGGAA